UACGGAGGGGGCGAGCGUUGUUCGGAGUUACUGGGCGUAAAGCGCACGUAGGCGGUGCGGUAAGUCAGGGGUUAAAGGCUGCAGCUCAACUGCAGUAAGGCCUUUGAUACUAUCGCGCUAGAGUACCAGAGAGGAUGGCGGAAUUCCCGGUGUAGCGGUGAAAUGCGUAGAUAUCUGGAAGAACACCAGUGGCGAAGGCGGCUACUUGGUUCGCAACUGACGCUGAGGCGCGAAAGCGUGGGGAGCAAACAGG
rnacentral:rRNA from 1 species